CUCAGAUAAUGGCCGAGUUGCAGAAAAGAAAAACAUCAGUUAGACUAAAGAAGCAACAAAAAAUAGUAAAUAAGACAAGAAAAAAGAUCAGAAGGCAACUCACUUGGAUGAACGAGUCUAGCAUGUCCCUUUUUUGCAAGCUAGAACCUAUCUCUUCCAGCUUCUUAGCAUCAGCUGGAAGAAGAAGCCUAUGAACCAAGUCACAGGCAACCCUCCAACUCUCCAAAGUCGAGUUGGAGGCUAGUCAAAUUGAUGGGAUGCAUAACCCCUACUCAACUGAAGUAGGGGUCAGCCCCAAGCGAG
rnacentral:lncRNA from 1 species